rnacentral:rRNA from 1 species
GAUGAACGCUAGCUACAGGCUUAACACAUGCAAGUCGAGGGGUAACGAGAGGAAAGCUUGCUUUCCUUGUCGACGACCGGCGCACGGGUGAGUAACGCGUAUCCAACCUGCCCCCAACUAGGGAAUAACCUUGCGAAAGUAAGACUAAUACCCUAUAAUUUCCUCAGAUGCCAUCUGACGAGGAAUAAAGAUUUAUCGGUUGUGGAUGGGGAUGCGUCUGAUUAGCUUGUUGGCGGGGUAACGGCCAACCAAGGCAACGAUCAGUAGGGGUUCUGAGAGGAAGGUCCCCCACAUUGGAACUGCGACACGGUCCAAACUCCUACGGGAGGCAGCAGUGAGGAAUAUUGGUCAAUGGGCGGAAGCCUGAACCAGCCAAGUAGCGUGCAGGAUGACGGCCCUAUGGGUUGUAAACUGCUUUUAUACAGGAAUAAAGUUAGCCACGUGUGGUUAUUUGUAGGUACUGUAUGAAUAAGGACCGGCUAAUUCCGUGCCAGCAGCCGCCGUAA